rnacentral:tRNA from 1 species
GAGUCAAUAGCAUAGUGGUGUGUGCGUUUGGGUGACGACCAGCAGGUCGUGGGUUCGACUCCCUCAGCCCCCC